CACUGCCUGGAAAGGAAAAACAAACCCUGUCUGUUAAAACCAAUACACAGUAUCUUACAUACUGUUUCCUUGCUUCAGAAUAAAGAAUUUGCAGAAAGUCUUCUGAAAUACAAAUCCAGAGACUUUCCUAGUUUACACACACACUCUCUCUAAAGAACAGAAAUUACUAAGAAAAUUUGACUGACUUGUGCACACACUGGUACUGUUUCAAAGGAAGAGAUCGAAGAUCUGCCUAAGUCAAAUACCAGUUUUCGAGGAACAGCAGAGGAGGAGCUAAACAGCAUAUAAGCAAACAGUUAUAAAGAGACUAACAUACACUUUGCAAAUAUCCUAUUUUCCACAGGCAAUGCGAAAACCUGAGAUGAGAUCCAUGGCUGCACGCAGAACAGCUACAGGACCUAUGGGAGUGUAAAGAGGUCUCAGAUUUCAGAAGGAGAACAGCUGAGACAGGAGCCUAGCAUUCAAUUAUUAUUUUAUCUGUAUGGCUGAAGUAUUUGCUAAAGCAAAAGAGUAUGGUGUCUAAUUGAGUUCCAGUUUGAUCCAAUAGGAAGUACUGGGAUUGGAAUCAAGAUAGGAAUUCAACUGUUUAAUUUCCUUUAAAAAAAGAC